UCCCUGGUGGCUUAGAUGGUAAAGCCUCUGACUGCAAUGCGGGACACCCAGGUUUGAGGCCUGGCUCUGGAA
rnacentral:tRNA from 1 species